AAUAGUUAUCUCUUGUGUUCCUUGCAGGAGAGAGAGGCCCUGAGAGUCAUCCUUCUGAAGGAGAUUCACAAGGUGCAAGAGUGCAAACAGAGUGAUCUGAUGAUGAGGGACAACCUGUUUGAAAUGGUCACCAGUUCCAGAACCUUCUACAUGCAGGCUGACAGUCCAGAGGACAUGCACAGCUGGAUUAAGGCCAUCUCAGGGGCCAUCGUAGCUCAGCGAGGCCCCGGACGCUCCGCUAACACUGUAGGUACACACAAAAGGGAAAACACGUAGGUAAACUAACAAAGGAAAACAGUGUAGGUACACACACAAGGGAAAACACGGAGGUAAACUAACAAAGGAAAACACUGUAGGUACACACACAAGGGAAAACACGGAGGUAAACUAACAAAGGAAAACACUGUAGGUACACACACAAGGGAAAACACGGAGGUAAACUAACAAAGGAAAAUACUGUAGGUACACUAACAAGGGAAAACACUGUAGGUACACUAACAAGGGAACACACUGUA